GGAGGCCCAGUGGGACCCAUCAAGGCCUCUAGAAGACCUGAUGAUACCUGUUGUGGCCUCCAGAAGGCGCAACGGGGCCAUGGGAGGACAUGACAGGGCCCACCACAGCCUCCGGAAGGCCCAACGAGCCUCAUCAGGCUUUACAGAGGCCCCAACAAGCACUGGUGGGCCUUCCAGAGACUGUAGCAGGCUCCCAUUUCACAGUAAAGGCACCCCACAGUGGCAGUGUAGCAGCAGUGUGGGGGUAGUGGCAGCAGUGGUACACAGCCAGGGGUGAAGAUACGUGUCCCAGCACCCGGAAGCCGGGAUAGCUGGCCCAUGGGGCAAGGCUAGCCACCCACAGGGCGAGCAUCUUUGGCCACCCACCACCCAUGUGGCGAGCGUGGGGGUGACUCUGCUAGUCGCCUGUGCAGGGAGCGUCCCUAACAGCUUGCCACCCAUGCGGCAAGCAUCUGGGGGUGCUGCCCGCACGGUGAGAGGGAUGGGUGUGGUGCGGUGAUGUCACAUGCCCUCACGGUUGAUACCCAGUGCGCACCGAACCCCGCAAACCCCCCUUCCUCUGCCAGUCUAAACAGCAGCAGCGGUGCACAGCAGAUGGUAGGGGAGGCUGUGGGUCUGAGCACCCACAAUAAAACGUUGCAGGUGCUAGGAUAAGGUUACCAGACGUCCCCGUUUCCCAGGGACAGUCCCCAGAUUUACAAAUCAGUCCCCAUACAAAAUUCAUUGAAGUUGAAAAGUGUCCCCGGAUUCAUUGAAAAAAAUCUGGUAACCUUAUCGCUAGGACUCCUAGGGGCCCCUAGAGUUGGCGCCACUGGCAGAUGUUAUAGCAGGCAUAGGCAAACUCUGGUCCUCCAGAUGUUUGGGACUACAAUUCCCAUCAUCCCUGACCACUGGUCCUGUUAGCUAGGGAUGAUGGGAAUUGUAGUCCCUAACAUCUGGAGGGCCGGAGUUUGCCUAUGCCUGUGUUAUAGCAUGGUCAUCUCAAGACGGGUUGUACCUCACAGCGGUGCAGCUCUGGAGUAUCCACACCUGCCUUCAGCCAACCAACCAAGAUCAUUCUGUUUUUGUUCUCCUGUCCCGAGCCUUGUGCUAAAAAGGCCACAAACUUUUCAUAUGACAUCAUACCCAGUUACUCUAGGAAACUUCCAAAUCUCCUUUCCCUCUUUACACCCCAGAACGGCAGGGAGGGACAGUUCUCUGGCAUUGCCAAUGGCUUUCAAUGGCCCUUUAUUUUUCCUUAAUGGUCUUAACUCAGCCAGGUUGUUUUACAUAGGCUAGAGGAGGAAUUUCUUGGCAGGUUGGAUUUUCCCUUCAUAUCCCAAAUAAUCAAAAUCCAACUAGUAUCUGGGAUCUAUAACACUAUAAAUAUAUGUCUAGCCAGUCAUUUAUUUGAUCCAUUCAAUCCAUCUGAUUUGCAUUAACUGCAUUACUUGUUAAAUACAUUAAUGAAUCAAUUAAUUUUAACAGAUAAAGGCAACAACCGAAGUCCAUGAUAAAACAAAAGCUAUUUCGGAUGGUAAAAUUGUGUAUGUGUAGAAAACCUCUGAUGUGAAUGUAGCCUAUAGAACAAAGAAGAAGAAGAAGGAGAAGAAGAAGAAGAAGAAGAAGAAGAAGAAGAAGAAGAAGAAGAAGAAGAAGAAGUUGUUAUUUAUACCCUGCCCACUCUGGGCAGCUUCCAACAAAAUAUUAAAAAUUCAAUAAAAUGCCAGACAUUAAAAAAUUCCCUAAACAAGGCUGCCUUCAGAUGUCUUCUAAAAGUCAGACAGUUGUUUAUUUCCUUGACAUCUGAUGGGAGGGCAUUCCACAAGAUGGGCGCCACUACCGAGAAGGCCCUCUGCCUGCUUCCCUGUAACCUCACUUCUCGCAGGGUGGGAACCACCAGAAGGCCCUCAGUACUGAACCUCAGGGUCUGGAAUGAACGAUGAAGGUGGA
rnacentral:lncRNA from 1 species